rnacentral:rRNA from 1 species
GAUGAGCGCUAGCGGCAGGCUUAACACAUGCAAGUCGAGGGGCAGCGCGGGAUAGCAAUAUCCUGGCGGCGACCGGCGGAAGGGUGCGUAACGCGUGAGCGACAUGCCCGUUGCCCGGGGACAACCGGUGGAAACGCCGACUAAUCCCCGAUGGGAUAUUGUGCCGCAUGGCACGAUAUUGAAAGUUACGGCGGCGACGGAUUGGCUCGCGUCCGAUUAGCUGGUUGGCGGGGUAACGGCCCACCAAGGCUGCGAUCGGUAGGGGUUCUGAGAGGAAGGCCCCCCACAAUGGGACUGAGACACGGCCCAUACGCCUACGGGAGGCAGCAGUGAGGAAUAUUGGUCAAUGGGCGGAAGCCUGAACCAGCCAUGCCGCGUGCGGGAAGGAGGCCCUAUGGGCUGUGAACCGCUUUUGCCUGGGGGCAAUAAGGGCGUCGCGCACGUCCGAUGAGAGUACCAGGCGAAUAAGCAUCGGCUAACUCCGUG